ACAGUAUCUAAAGAGUUCUAUAUCUGUUUUAUUUGAAAUCAUGCAAUAAUAUAUUUCAGGAGGAAAUUUGUGGCUAAUAUAUUUCAACCUUUACAAAUCCACCUGUAGGCCUGAGAUAAGGCUUCAAUCCGUGAGUGCUGGAGCAAAAUAUGUUUAUGAAAUGAAGCCACAUACAGCGAUAGAGCCAGAAAAUCUCUUGUCAUCAUUAAGGAAACAUAUUUCUCCUCUGUCAGACGGUGUCAUGUAAAAAAUGUGAGAUGUAGAUACAGAAAGGAAUGUGACCCGAGUGUUUAAACUAUUCCUUCUCAUCAGUCUCAGUACAGACUCACAGGCAGCAACAUAAAGGGAGGAAGCAUAACUACUGAAUUUAUUUCAGUCCUAACUUUUUUCAUCUCUAACAGUCAGACAGACAAACCGGUGAAGCUUUGAGUAACCAUUUAGUAACUAUUCGUGUCAUGGAGUAUUCCACCUAUGUCGGCCGCUGCCUGCUGUUUUUCUCUCUUGCCAUCCUCAUGGAUGUAACAGGCCUCAUCAUAUUCUUUGUUGGGGUUGCUGCUCCCCUCAGCUUCUGGGAUUUCUUUGUCUUUUCUGGGUCGCUCCUAAUAUUCCUCAGCCUGGUAUUCUGGAUCUUCUGGUAUCUGGGAAACCUGGAGGUACCAAUGGAGGCCUUACUCCCCAAAUGAGGAUGAAAAUGCUGCACUUCUACUCGAUCUUACUUGUGGAUUCACAAGCCAUAAAAAACAUGGAACUUUAACCUGAAAGGAAAAACAUGGAACCCUAAUCUGGAAAGACAUCUGUAUGCUGGGCACCUUGGACUCUGGAGCUGUUUUAUAAACUUCUGAAGUUGGUAGGACAAAAGAAAAAGACAGUCUUAAAGAAGAGGACCACGUUUAUAUAUUUAAAAUUUUUUUUUACAUAAAUAUGUGUAAAAACUUCCAUCUAAAGUCCUGGCACUUGGCAAUGAUGAACUCUACACAAUGACUCAUAUUACUUAUUAAUAUUCUAUUGUAAUGAAGAUCAAAUAAAUGAUUUAAAUAUUGAUAUAUGAAAUAACAUUAAUGAAUAGCUGCUAUUUGUGACUAUCCAGCAGACAGAUUAUUGCAUGGCAAGUCGAAAAUAUUCCUCCUUCAUAAGAAACUAAACACCUAACAACAAGUAUUGCAAAUGACAACACUGCAUGAUUUGUAAUCAUUUUUCAAUCUUUUCUGGUCAUUUUGCAGCCCUAUAAUCUAUAGUAGUUCAGGCAUUAGUGGUAAUUUUGUCAUUUUAUAGGCAUUUUGUGUAUCUUUGCUGUCAGUGGCCUGAUAUAUACAUACUGAUAAUGCUGCUCUUCAUGUUUCUUUUUUACUUUUUUCCUUCUAACACUGUUGUUCCCAGUCUCCAUUGUGAUAGAAAUUUGAGUAUUUGUUUCUCAACCCAUUCAACAGAAACCAGUCAAACUGGAUGCUUUAGUUACUAGUGCUGAGACUGCUCUCAUUUUACAAGAAUGGCUUGUUUGAAAGGAAAAGAAAGAGAACAUUUUGUGUCUGUCAUAACCAACAACAUACUAUAUGGUGGAAUUAAUUGAUUAAGCUGAUUAAGCUAAGGAUAUGUGUUCUGCUAUAAUCCUUACCUCAAGUAUGUGGUACAACUCGUUUCUCUGCCACUAAAGUGGACACCCAGUUUACAGUGUGAUUGACAUCUAAGCUUAAAGACAUUAUAAUCUUCAGUCUUAUCAAUGCUGGACACAAGAAGAGAGCUUCAACAAGAAAACUAAGAAAGAAAUAAAAGAGAAAACAAAAG
ensembl:lncRNA